rnacentral:rRNA from 1 species
AGGGUGUAAACGCUGCAGACUUGGUGUUGGGGGCCCUUUGGGGGCAUUCAGUGCCGGAGAGAAGUUGUUAAGUCUGCUACUUGGGAGUACGUCCGCAAGGAUGAAACUUAAAGGAAUUGGCGGGGGGAGGCACCGCAACGGGAGGAGCGUGCGGUUUAAUUGGAUUCAACACCGUAAAACUCACCAGGGAAGACUGUUACAUGAAGGCCGAGAUGAAGACUCUGCUAGAUUUUCAGAGAGGAGGUGCAUGGCGUCAGUGACU